GGAGGUUACAGCUCAAGUGGUAGAGUGCAUGCUUAGCAUGCAUGAGGUCCUGGGUUCAAUCCCCAGUACCUCCA
rfam:Camelus ferus unplaced genomic scaffold scaffold598, whole genome shotgun sequence.